GAUGAACGCUGGCGGCGUGCCUAAUACAUGCAAGUCGAGCGAACAGACGAGGAGCUUGCUCCUCUGACGUUAGCGGCGGACGGGUGAGUAACACGUGGCUAACCUACCUAUAAGACUGGGAUAACUUCGGGAAACCGGAGCUAAUACCGGAUAAUAUAUUGAACCGCAUGGUUCAAUAGUGAAAGACGGUUUUGCUGUCCCUUAUAGAUGGAUCCGCGCCGCAUUAGCUAGUUGGUAAGGUAACGGCUUACCAAGGCAACGAUGCGUAGCCGACCUGAGAGGGUGAUCGGCCACACUGGAACUGAGACACGGUCCAGACUCCUACGGGAGGCAGCAGUAGGGAAUCUUCCGCAAUGGGCGAAAGCCUGACGGAGCAACGCCGCGUGAGUGAUGAAGGUCUUCGGAUCGUAAAGCUCUGUUAUUAGGGAAGAACAAAUGUGUAAGUAACUAUGCACGUCUUGACGGUACCUAAACAGAAAGCCACGGCUAACUACGUG
rnacentral:rRNA from 1 species